rnacentral:tRNA from 1 species
GCGGGAUUAGUUAAAUGGUAUAACGACAGUUUUCCAAACUGUAGUCGGGAGUCCGAUUCUCCCAUCCCGCA